rnacentral:rRNA from 1 species
AACGAACGCUGGCGGCAGGCUUAACACAUGCAAGUCGAACGCCCCGCAAGGGGAGUGGCAGACGGGUGAGUAACACGUGGGCACAUGCCCAAAGGUACGGAAUAUUCUCGGGAAACUGGGAGCAAUACCGUAUGUGCCCGAAAGGGGAAAGAUUUAUCGCCUUUGGGUUGGCCCGCGUUGGAUUAGCUAGUUGGUGGGGUAAAAGCCUACCAAGGCGACGAUCCAUAGCGGGGCUGAGAGGACGACCAGCCACACUGGGACUGAGACACGGCCCAGACUCCUACGGGAGGCGGCAGUGGGGAAUCUUGGGCAAUGGGCGCAAGCCUGAUCCAGCCAUGCCGCGUGAGUGAUGAAGGCCCUAGGGUUGUAAAACUCUUUCGUGGGGGACGAUAAUGACGGUACCCCAAGAAGAAGCUCCGGCUAACUUCGUGCCAGCCGCCGCGGUAACAC